rnacentral:rRNA from 1 species
UUUGAGACCGGCGCACGGGUGCGUAACGCGUAUGCAACCUACCUCUUACUGGGGAAUAGCCCGAAGAAAUUCGGAUUAAUGCCCCAUAUGCUCGUACGGCUCAUGGUCGAGCGAGGAAAGCUCCGGCGGUAAGAGAUGGGCAUGCGUCCUAUUAGCUUGUUGGUGAGGUAAUGGCUCACCAAGGCUACGAUAGGUAGGGGGCCUGAGAGGGUGACCCCCCACACUGGUACUGAGACACGGACCAGACUCC